rnacentral:rRNA from 1 species
UACGUAGGGGGCAAGCGUUGUCCGGAAUCAUUGGGCGUAAAGCGCGUGUAGGCGGUCCGGUAAGUCGGUUGUGAAAGUCCAGGGCUCAACCCUGGGAUGCCGACCGAUACUGUCGGACUAGAGUUCGGAAGAGGCGAGUGGAAUUCCCGGUGUAGUGGUGAUAUGCGUAGAUAUCGGGAGGAACACCUGUGGCGAAGGCGGCUUUCUGGGCCUUACCUGACGCUGAGACGCGAAAGCGUGGGGAGCGAACCGG